rnacentral:rRNA from 1 species
UACAGAGGUCUCAAGCGUUGUUCGGAUUCAUUGGGCGUAAAGGGUGCGUAGGCGGCGCGGUAAGUCGGGUGUGAAAUUUCGAGGCUUAACUUCGAAACUGCAUUCGAUACUGCCGUGCUUGAGGACUGGAGAGGAGACUGGAAUUUACGGUGUAGCGGUGAAAUGCGUAGAUAUCGUAAGGAAGACCAGUGGCGAAGGCGGGUCUCUGGACAGUUCCUGACGCUGAGGCACGAAAGCCAGGGGAGCGAACGGG